rnacentral:rRNA from 1 species
UACGGGGGGGGGUAAGCGUUGUUCGGAAUUACUGGGCGUAAAGGGCGCGUAGGCGGCCUGCUAAGUCGAACGUGAAAUCCCUGGGCUCAACCCAGGAACUGCGUCCGAUACUGGUUGGCUUGAAUCCGGGAGAGGGAUGUGGAAUUCCAGGUGUAGCGGUGAAAUGCGUAGAUAUCUGGAGGAACACCGGUGGCGAAGGCGGCAUUCUGGACCGAAACUGACGCUGAGGCGCGAAAGCCAGGGGAGCGAACAGG